rnacentral:snRNA from 1 species
UAAUAGAGAUGUGAGGACGAUCCCCAGGAUUGAUUGGGUUGAUCUGGCUGGCUAGACAGGUGUCCUCUUCCUCCCAAAGCUUCUAGAACAACCUUCCCUAAUGGAGAAGGACUGUUCUUCAGUCAAGGGCAUACAAGUAGCUGUGCUCCUCUGCUAGCUCCUUCAAAUGAGCUCAAGAUGAACAAUGGGAUGGAAUAAAGUCUAGUCAACUUUCUCAUACUAUAGAAAGCUCAGAAUCAGGACUGCAAAGCCUG